CUGAGUAUAACCAUUUUCUGUUUUUCUGUUCAGUUACCCUAAAAAUAGUUCAUCUUUCUUCCUUGUAAAAACAGUUUAUUGCUAGUUACUCAGUGAUGACGUGAUUGUUGCUCUGAUCUGAUUAGCUCUCUGUCAUUUGUACAGCACCGAGAAAGGGCACAUAGAUUAUACACUACAGCAGCAGCAAAAUUACUUUCUGAGAUGAAGCAGAAAAUCAUAAUGACUGUUAUGAAAAGAAAAUUGGAAAAACUCGAAAGCUAUUUUUAGCUUUUAUAUAAGUGGACAUUUAAUAAAUGCAGCCUUAAUGGUUUCUGCUCAGUGGCUUUUCCAUGUGGUUUGUGAUUUUAAGGGAGCGUUCAGAAAUCUUUGACUGAGUUUUGCAGUUGUACUAUUACUUCCUAAAUUGUAAGGAAAAGCUUAUUCCUAAUUUUUUUCACUUUAUUAAUAAUAAUCUAGCUAGUUAAUUAAUAAGAUUAAACAUACUAUAUGGAAAAAUAGCUGCCUUCCUUUGGCAAAGGCCCAAAUAAAUAAAAAAUGCGCAUAGCUAAAUGUGGGGUCUCUGCACUUACCAAAUAUCUUCUAGUUAGAACACUGAUUGGAGCAGUUACUUACGAGCAACGGAUUACUUUGCUUCAAAAGGGUUCUCCUUGUCUUCGUCCAGAACUGGAUGAAGUUUUCCAGGUGGCAUUGUGCAGCUUUGCAUUACUGAGUCAUAUUAACACCAACUAUCCCUAGAGCCACAGGAAAGCUCCACAUGGGCCUAAGAGAUGAAACAGUUAUAGGCAUCAGAAAAAUAGACAUGAGAGAACAGUACAUCUAUCGUGUUACAUAAAGAGCCAUUUUAUCAUUUGAAUAUGAGAUUAUUUCAUUUAUACUACCAUGUUACUUCCCUAUGGACUGUAGGAAGUGUUCUUAUACUUUAAGUGACCCAGAUCUAGGAAUAUUUAUUAGUACACCUUUAUUCACAUGUAGAUAUUACUACUAUUGUAGUAUAGUUGCCCACAAACAUAGAAGUCCUGCUAUUGUAUUUUACUCUGUUUAAAUAUACAGAUUUCCAGAGCUUUCUUGAUAAGGCUUUUUUACAGAUAUGAUGUUGAUCUCUGUUACAAAAUGCAAUACAACAAGUAUUUAACAACAGUUCGGUGCUUAGACAACGUGCUUACGAUGAGCAUUUUCUGAUCAAUAAGAAUGAAUGAAGUAGCCAACAAGCAACACAAAAACCAUUCUCCAAAAUGACUUGCUGGUUCAGGAACUGGAAGUGGAGAGCUUUUUCUCUUUAUAUCACUAUUUCAUGUCUGGCCCAGAUCAACAGUGACUCAAAGUUCACCGUUAGCUACCUGGCUGCUGUCCUCAGCAAGUGAUGUAAGCAGAGCAAUUUGGCAGGACCACUCUGAAUUCCUAAAUCACCACUCUGGCAGCGUCUGGUGAGCCUGGAGUCAGCUUCCACAAGAAGGCAGACAAACAUGACUGAAAGACAGCAGAGACUGAGUGCUGUUACCCAAAAGGUGUCACCUUGGGAGAAAGGUCAUGACACAUUGACACAGCAGAGUGUGGGAAACUUACUCCAUCAUCUUGUUUGGGGAUGAGGACCGCAUGGAUGCAUGCAGAUCUGCUUUCUCUCAUUGGUGCUGCAUUUGCUCAGAUUUAAGUGAAAAAGAUGAAGAGCUUGUUCUCUAUGUUUGCCCUGUGUUAUCUUUUGUAGCAGUAGGUAUCCUGCAGACGGGAUGCUGUUAACUCUUCAGCUGCCUUUCUCUAUCGUAAUCUGCAAGGGAAACAGAAUUAAAAUUUGCAGGGACACAACAGUGUUGCAGUGAGGAAAUACUACGUGAAUCACCACUUCAUCAUAAGAAAAUAUGCCUGGCACUUAGGAGGCAACAAGAAAAGUAUAAAGGCAUCCAUCUUAUACAAAGAAUAACCACCUAAGGGAACUAAUAGAGGACUUAAAUCUCAUAAUAUCCUCAUGAUAAAUUUUACAACUGUUUUAUACUGAGAAAAAUCUUGAUUUAAGGUUUUCUGCAAUUAAAUAUUUGAAUGCAAUUUUAUAAAUGGAUUACUGUUUCUUGAAAUAUCAGUCAAAACUUUAAGGUUUGUACAACGCGAAGGAGACACUUCAUGUGGCUGACGCUGUUACCUUCUGGCAAAUAAGCUAAAGUUUGGGCAUUUCUCUGGAGUCAGCACAUCAAUCUCAGAGCCAUUAAGGACAAAUUACCAAAAGCACAAAGUGAUUUUUUUUAAUUUGGAACCCUAAAAGUUGAAGAUCUAAAAAUUAUCCACCAUGUGAAAAUGUUGCAUUUGCAUCUCAACCACCAUCUUAACGCUGUGUUUCUCCUAGGCAGCAUCCCGUGGACUGCAACAUUCAGAAACUUGGAAUUUUUUAGAGUAUUUAUAAAAUGCUGUACCCACCUCCCUUAUUCCAUGCUUUGAAGCUUGCCGUGUUUUUAGAGCAUAUUUAAAAGAAAACAGAACUGGAUCAGCACACUGAAAGUCACCCACAGACAACCUGUUCCACUGAUACUUUACAUUUAUACUGCAUCCUUUGUCCUGAAGGAUUUCUCUGCUUCAUUCUCAUUCCGUGUAGGCUGAUGAGACCGCUCAGGUAUCUGCAGGAGUGAGUCAGGGAACGCUGGGAUAUGUGCUUCAUGUUCAGAGGCCAGUAAGGAAAAUUGGGCAUUUGUUAUUUCAUGGGUAGUGACAUCACCAUCUCAGAUCUCCUUAAGGAAAAUAACUUCCACAGCUGAAAACUAGACCUGAAAGCAAACACAAUCUGAAUUCUCAUGGCAAGGAGCUGGAGCAUGCUGUACUUCACAAUGGGUCAUUACUGCUUGCUAUUCCUUCCGUGUUUUGCAUUUACCAUGCUGCACUUCAAACAUUUCUAUGUGAAAUGCAUCACUUUAAAAUCUGUGGAUACGGAAGGUUCUUUCCUGCUUGUUGAAGUAAUUGAGUGAAGUGAAGGUUGAUCAUAAAAUGUAAUGAGAGGGGAAGAGAGAACUCUUAUGCUGGAAAAAGCACUAUAAAUAUUUUCCUGAGAUCAUUAACACAACCUUGUAACACUUCGCCUCGUGCAGCGGAAAGAAUUAUACAAUCAUUUUAUGAACUUUCUAAAAAGUGUUUACAAUUCCAUCCCAAAUAUAUAUGGCUUUUUUUUUUUUUAAAGCAGAAAAAAAAAAAAAAAACAGCAACCUAUAAUUCUUAAUUCUGCUAUCAAAGUUAUUUCCAGCCUUUGAAGGGAUUCACUUCGCAGGGCCUCGGCAGCGUCAAACAAAUGUUCGACUUUUAUUCUGACACUUCUUGAAGAAUUUGAUUGAAACUAUAUAUGUCGAGAUAACAUCCAACAAAGUGCCCCUCUUGCGUUUGUUUCAAGAUAUUUUUGGAAGCAACAGAGACGACCUUGGAUGGAGCUGCUUUUCCAAUUUAGGACUUCAUUUGGUCUAAGAGAGUAAAAUUAUACUCUUCGGUCCUUUUGUGUACCCACAAACAAAACAGUGUUGUUACCUUCUGCUAUUGUAAAAUUGUUUUUCUGUACCUUGUUAGCAGUGUCAAUCUGUUGAGGAUAAGAACUGUUUUAGGUAAUCCACAGUUACAUUCAAACGCACAUAUAAAUAGUCCUCCAGUGUAUCACAUGUCCCUGUAAAACAUUGUGCAAUCCAAACGAACAGUGGUCCUUUAUGUAAUGCCUUUCUUUCUUUAUAACUAGUGUUAAUAAAUAAGCUUUAGCCUUUGUCUUUGCUUAUAGACAUCAAGAAUCUGAUUUCAAGCCAGGGCUCACACAGACUUGAUGUAAAGUCUAAAUGAGGAGAGUGGUAAUGCUGGCGAAUGCGCUGCGAUGGGACCGCCACCUGUCUGGAUUGCAGGAGAAAUAUUGUUUGUCAAGCUUCAAGUUUAAAUCCAAGGUUAGGAGCCAGGUCCUCUGCACUUCCAGAGUGGGGGGAUGGUUUUCUUUGGAUUUAGGUUUGCCAGCUCUGCAAUUGUGUAUGCAAAGUUUCAUUAUAUCUAAUCAAUUGUGUUUUAAAUAGUUUGCAUUUAAUUCUCUUUAUAAUCAAUAUAUUUUAAUUCAUUUGUACUACUGUCUAUUACAGGCAUACUGCAGUCUAACAAAAUGAAAUUAGUUUGUUGUGAUUAUAAUGCAGCUUCAC
ensembl:lncRNA